UACGUAGGGUGCAAGCGUUAAUCGGAAUUACUGGGCGUAAAGCGUGCGCAGGCGGUUGUGCAAGACAGAUGUGAAAUCCCCGGGCUCAAACUGGGAACUGCAUUUGUGACUGCACGGCUGGAGUGCGGCAGAGGGGGAUGGAAUUCCGCGUGUAGCAGUGAAAUGCGUAGAUAUGCGGAGGAACACCGAUGGCGAAGGCAAUCCCCUGGGCCUGCACUGACGCUCAUGCACGAAAGCGUGGGGAGCAAACAGG
rnacentral:rRNA from 1 species